GCGCGCGUAGCUCAGUUGGAUAGAGCGCCAGUUUGCGGUACUGGAGGUCGUAGGUUCAACUCCUGCCGCGCGUACCA
rnacentral:tRNA from 1 species